UUAGAUGUGCUGAAGAGACAAACACAACACAAUGAUGUACCGAGAAGUUAUAUAAUAAUUAUUAUAAUUUUAAGAUUUAUUUUACAAAUCUAUAAGGGCCAACAAUUAAAAAUUAAUAAAAGGUGAGGACACACUUUUAUUUAUAGAUUAUAAAGUUACAAAAUAAUUUAUUAAAAAUAAUGAGGAGAAAUAUGGUAGAAAUAAUAAAGUUUGCUUAUGUUGUGAUUAUACUAUUCUUUCUAUUUAUUAUUGGAACGAAAAUUGAAGGUAAGUUUUAUUUAUUUAUUUUAAAUUUUCUUUUCUAUUUCAUACGUUGUAUUUUAUCUCAUUUGAAUAACCUUAUUGUUUGUUUUUUAGUGCACCGGAUAAAUUCAAAUGUUUUGAUUAUUGAGAUUGUAAAAUCAGAAUUUAUUGUCUGCCUCCUUUUAAAAAGAAAAUGCAUAAACAAAAUUUAUUGUAAAUAUAUACUAGCGCAUGAAUUGUUUAAUCCGAUAAGAUAAAUAAAUACCUUAUGAGUUUACAAAUUUAUAUUUUAAUUGAGAGAACACACAAAUACCUAAUAUAUUUUAUUUUAUGUAUUGUCAUAUGUCAUUUGGAUAUUGUAUUGUUACCCCCAAUAAAAUAAUAUUUUUUUAAUUUUAUUUCAAGAAUCUAAUAGUUGGGGAUUUAUACACUAGUAUGAUUGAAAUGAAAUCAAAUAAGACAACAAAUAAUAAUAUUUUUAUUGUCAUUUCCUUUUUAAUUUUAGAAAAAACUAAUAAUAUUUUGAUUGUCUUUUUCCGUUUUAAGGAUGCACUUUUAUUUAUAAACUAUAAAGAUACAAAAUAAUUUAUUAAAAAUAACGAGGAGAAAUAUGGUAGAAAUAAUAAAUUUUUCUUAUGUUAUGAUUAUAUUAUUCUUUCUAUUUGAAAAUUGAAGAUAAGUUUUAUUCAUUCAUUUGAAAUUUUUUAUUUAUUUCAUAUGUUGUAUUUUUUUAUCAUUUUAAUAAGUUUAUUUUGUAUUUUUUAUUGCAGCGGAUAGAUUCAACUGUUUUAAUGAUUUAGAUUGUAAAAAUAGAAUUUAUUGUCGGCCUCCUUUAAAAAGGAAAUGCAUAAACCAGAAAUAUUGUAAAUGUGUACCACCGCAUAUCGCAUGAAUUGCUUAAUACCAGAAAAUAAAUAAAUACCUUUAUGUAUACUAGCGCAUUACUAGCACAUGAAUUGCUUAAUCCCAGAAGAUAAAUAAAUACCUUUAUGAGUUUACAAUUUUAUUUUUUAAUUGAAAGACUCAAGAGAACACACAAACACCAAAUAUAUUUUAUGCUGUCAUAUGUCAUUUGGAUAUUGUAUUGUUACCCCCAACAAUUUGAUUUUUUUUAAUUUUAUUUCAAGAAUCUAAUAGUUGUGGAUUUAUAUACUAGUAUGAUUAUAGUGAAAUGAAAUAAGACAAAAAAUAAUAAUAUUUUUAUUGUCUUUUCCUUUUUAAUUUAAAAAAAAAAUUGAUUGUCUUUUUCCCUUUUAAUUUUAGAGAAAUAUUCAUGACCUUCAUUUAUGCAUAUCACAUUUUCUUUUUAAUCAUGUCACCUCUCUGUAUAUUUAAAAACUAAAUUGAAAAUAAUUCAAAAUUUACUUAUAAUUUUAUAAUUCUAUAUUUAUAUAAUAAUAUUGUAAAACAAGUGAUCUUUCUCAUUCUCAAUUUAUAUUUCUCUUAUUUUUUUAAUAGUUACGGUGAUAAAUUGAAAAUAAUUCAAAAUUUACUUAUAAUUUUAUAAUUCUAUAUUUAUAUAAUAAUAUUGUAAAACAAGUGAUCUUUCUCAUUCUCAAUUUAUAUUUCUCUUAUUUUUUUAAUAGUUACGGUGACCUUGUUGAAUUUUAAAAGAUCUGAACCAAUAAAAUUUCAAUACACAUAUAAUAAUAACCUUGGAAAAAACUAUGGAAAUAUAAUUAAUUGUUUAUUUUUAUAAUAACCUUUGGAAAAACUUAUGGAGAUUAUAAUUAAGUGUUUACUUUUGUAUCUUGUAAGAGCAUAACAUUGAUACUUUAGUAGAUUUCGUUUCACUUAUCAUCUUUGUAUUUUAUUCAUUCAAGACUUGUUAGUUCUUCUAUUAAUAAUUUUCUUUCUUCGUGUCAUAAAUUUUUUUAUCCAAACUUUACAUGAGUCUCAAAUAGAGGUUACAUGUUAGUCAAGAAAUUAUGCGAAAAGGAUGUGACCCUAGAACCCUAUUCAAAACUGGAGAGAGCUAAUAUUCUCAUUGCGGGCGAGUCGUCUACUCCCUAUUAUUAUUUUUACUUGCCUGUUAUCCUUAUCCACGAGUUGGAGACUCUGGUCCCUUUUGCCUCUUUUAAGGCAGACUUUCUGGUGAUUAUUUACAUCGCCCCUUUCCAGAUUACCCCAAGGUAUGGAGCAUUCUUAUGGUUUUUGAUCGUGACUUAGUAAGUCUAUGUGAAUCGUGACUGCAAGUGCACAGUCCUAUCGCGUAGUUUUAAAGAUUAUCGAAUCCAUAAGGACUAAUAAUCGAACGUAUCAUUAUCUAAUGUUGUUAUGUAAAUUUAAGGCUGAUGAUUGUUCUAAGAUUGGAGGGAUGAAGAGAAAUAACUAUAAUGUAAAUAGAAUAAAGAUAUGAGAUAUAGGGGAUAUUGGUAUGUAAUACAUCAAACUUCAGGGAUUCGAUAGAUAGUUGGUGAAAUCUUAUUGCUGAAAUCUUAUUGGUUAAAAUAUUCUUCAGUAGAAAUUAUUUAAAGAAAGGACUUAGUCUCACACUC
rnacentral:lncRNA from 1 species